CCCUACGGGGGGCAGCAGUGGGGGAUAUUGCACAAUGGGGGGAACCCUGAUGCAGCGACGCCGCGUGGGUGAAGAAGCGCCUCGGCGCGUAAAGCCCUGUCAGCAGGGAAGAAAAUGACGGUACCUGAAGAAGAAGCCCCGGCUAACUACGUGCCAGCAGCCGCGGUAAUACGUAGGGGGCAAGCGUUAUCCGGAUUUACUGGGUGUAAAGGGGGCGCAGACGGCGAUGCAAGCCAGGAGUGAAAGCCCGGGGCCCAACCCCGGGACUGCUCUUGGAACUGCGUGGCUGGGGUGCAGGAGGGGCA
rnacentral:rRNA from 1 species